UACAACUUUAUCUUUAUUUAUACAGCUGUU
rnacentral:piRNA from 1 species